GACGAACGCUGGCGGCGUGCUUAACACAUGCAAGUCGAACAGUGGCGAACGGGUGAGUAACACGUGAGUAACCUACCCUCCACUUUGGGAUAACUCCGAGAAAUCAGGGCUAAUACUAUAUCGUGGGGGAUGGGAUCGCGGCGUAUCAGUUUGUUGGUGAGGUAGGGGUCACCAAGGCGUGACGGGUAGCCGGCCUGAGAGGGGGACCGGCCACACUGGGACUGAGAGACGGGCCAGACUGGUACGGGAGGCAGCAGUGGGGAAUAUUGCACAAUGGGCGAAAGCCUGAUGAAGCGACGCUGCGGGGGGGAUGAAGGCUUUCGGGUUGUAAACCUCUUACAGUAAGGAAGCGGUACUUGCAGAAGAAGCGCCGGCUAACUACGUGCCAGCAGCCGCGGUAAUAC
rnacentral:rRNA from 1 species